GUGUUGCACAGGGUGAUGCAAAUUGUGGUCACACCAGAUAUUGACUGGUUUUCAGACCCCCGGACCCUCCAAACUGCACAUUUUAGAGUGGCCUUUUAUUGUGGCCAGCCUAAGGCACACCUGUGCAAUAAUCAUGCUGUCUAAAUAGCAUCUUGAUAUGCCACACCUGUGAGGUGGAUGGAUUAUCUCGCAAAGGAGAAGUGCUCACUAAC